AGGCAUAUUGUAUGGACAUGUUUCAAAUCAAAGAUAAGAUUGAAAAUUUUUAGAAGAAAACUUAAUAAACACAGAUAUGGUUAUCAUCCUCCAAACUAACUCUCAUGCAUUGUUGUUGCCAAAAGAAAUUGACGGAAUAAAAUAGGAAUUUCAAGUGUGGAUGAAUGGCGUUACAUUGCACAAGAUAUUUGACAACAAAAAUUAAUGAUACAAAGGUUACUACACAUGCAAAGGGAUGUACACACCUUUUACUACAAUGUAACUCAUGGAAAGAUCCCCUUUAAUUGAAAAGGAAAUUGUAUAUUCAUAGUAAAGAAUCAAACAUCAAGUAUGCAUGUGUUUCUCUUAUUUAUUUUGCAUCAAAACAAAUUCAAUUAAAUUUGUCAAAGAAAAGUUUAAAAUUC